UGGCUCAGUGGUAGAGUGCUUGCUUUGCAUGCAUGAGGCCUGGGGUUUGAUUCCUCA
rfam:Dipodomys ordii contig_27431, whole genome shotgun sequence.